ACAUAUAAUAAAAGAAACCUAAUUUGGGACACGUGUCACUCAAUCAGGCUUCUUAAGAGUGUUAUUCCCGCUCAAUAAUAAUUAAUCCCCGUGAGUUUUUUUUUGUGCCCGAUUCCGAUUAAAGAGAUAGAUCCGACCCAGUUUUCCCCUAUUGCUCCUCCUUUCAAAGCAAACCCUAUCGCACCCGAAUCGGUUUCUCUGCCUCUCCACCCUUAUUCUCUCUCUGAUAAUCUCAUGGAAGAUGAUAAUCUCAACCGUCUUUCAAAUCUCUGAUAACAUCUGCAGGGGCUUUUUUCCAUGGUGAGGUACAGAUUGUGCUCUAAUGAUACUAAUGAUAUGAGUACAAAAACCAGAGGCCCUUUUAGUACCAUGAGGUAAAAGGCUGAUCUGAGUCACAGUGCCAACAAUAGCCUUAACAUUGUUGCAAGGCUACUGGAUCCUCUUAAAGAGCAGCCUUCCAUCCGAUCAUUGCAAGGAUUACAAAGACAAAUCAUCGAUCAGAUCCUUCCUUUGUUUGAUUUAUUUGGAUCUUGCACUCACCCAAAAUCCUAAUCCUCAUUGUAAACCAUCAUGAUUUUGGUAGCCAACUUCGCCGUAGACUUUGUUGUUGAAAUGAUCUCUAUCUCAUCUCUUUCAAAAUUCUCCUCCGAAAACAUGAUCACAGCCAUCAUCAGUAACAUCACCAUGGUGGAUGACCUCGAAUCUCUGGAGAUUGUAAGUUAAUUGAUUCAAAAGGUAUGGUUUCUCGGCUGGUACCGGUAAGUCGCCGAUAUAAGGAUUUUUUUUAAUAUCAUGCAAAAAUUUCCACAAGGAUGAUCUACGAGAAAUGAAUAAUAAGUAUAAUGGUUCAAAUAGUGGACCAGGCAUUUUGCUAUCUGUAACCAUGAUGAUUGAACACUUUCAUGUAAAGUUGGCAAAAGGGGUGGGUCGGGAUAGGUUUUGGGUCAGUACGGAUAUAAGAAAAAUGGGUUCACGUUAAAGUGUUGUAUUGUGGGCAGGCAUGUUCAAACAGCUCGCAAGUCGAGGAAUAUGCCUUUUUACUAAUGCAACUAUACUUUAAAAA